AGAUGAAUAUCCAAGAGAUACUACAAAGUUAGAAAAGCCUUGAGAGAGUCGUGGAAACAAAGUUUCAUGACAUGGAUGUGAAGGUUACUGAGUUGACCACUAUAGUCAAACAACUUCAACGUGAAGUUGACUCACUGGAGAUCCUGCACUCAGAUGAUGAAGAUGAUGAUGAUGAAGAAGAGUCUCCUCCUCCCACUACCACACGGUUCAAUACUCAGCUUAGA
rnacentral:lncRNA from 1 species